AACGAACGCUGGCGGCGUGCUUAACACAUGCAAGUCGAACGCGAAAGUUUCUUUCGGGAAACGAGUAGAGUGGCGCACGGGUGAGUAACGCGUAAGUAAUCUACCCUGGUAUUUGGGAUAACCCACCGAAGGGUGUGCUAAUACCGAAUACGCUGAUUUAUCAGGAAAGGUGGCCUCUUCAUGGAAGCUACCGUACCAGGAGGAGCUUGCGUACCAUUAGCUAGUUGGUAGGGUAAUGGCCUACCAAGGCAACGAUGGUUAGCGGGUCUGAGAGGAUGAUCCGCCACACUGGAACUGGAACACGGACCAG
rnacentral:rRNA from 1 species